rnacentral:rRNA from 1 species
CGUAGGAGCGAGCGUUGUCCGGAAUUACUGGGUGUAAAGGGAGCGUAGGCGGAUCGCAAGUCAGAUGUGAAACUAUGGGCUUAACCCAUAAACUGCAUUUGAAACUGUGGUUCUUGAGUGAAGUAGAGGUAAGCGGAAUUCCUAGUGUAGCGGUGAAAUGCGUAGAUAUUAGGAGGAACAUCAGUGGCGAAGGCGGCUUACUGGGGCUUUAACUGACGCUGAGGCUCGAAAGCGUGGGGAGCAAACAGGAUU